ACACCUCGACCCUCCGAUGUUUUUUUCUUUCGUCGGAGGCGUCGGUAGUGAGCGCUGCCGGUCCUCGAAUCGGCUCGCUUCAAAUCCAUUAGCUGGAUCCACUCUGACCUGGUUCUACUCGGCGUGAUAAGUUGUCGUCGAGGACGCUCGGCCUUUUGGCUGGCGGCCACAGUAAGGGUGUUUUGAACCGCUUCGAACACGUCUUGUGGAAAAGCUUUCGCGGCUUUGAAGCAAACGCUUGAAC
rnacentral:misc_RNA from 1 species